rnacentral:rRNA from 1 species
GAUGAACGCUGGCGGCGUGCCUAAUACAUGCAAGUCGAGCGAACAGAUGAGAAGCUUGCUUCUCUGAUGUUAGCGGCGGACGGGUGAGUAACACGUGGGUAACCUACCUAUAAGACUGGGAUAACUCCGGGAAACCGGGGCUAAUACCGGAUAAUAUUUUGAACAGCAUGGUUCAAUAGUGAAAGACGGUUUCGGCUGUCAUUGAUAGAUGGAACCGCGCCGUAUUAGAUAGUUGGUAAGGUAACGGCUUACCAAGGCGACGAUACGUAGCCGACCUGAGAGGGUGAUCGGCCACACUGGAACUGAGACACGGUCCAGACUCCUACGGGAGGCAGCAGUAGGGAAUCUUCCGCAAUGGGCGAAAGCCUGACGGAGCAACGCCGCGUGAGUGAUGAAGGUCUUCGGAUCGUAAAACUCUGUUGUUAGGGAAGAACAAAUUUGUUAGUAACUGAACAAGUCUUGACGGUACCUAACCAGAAAGCCACGGCUAACUACGUGCCAGCCGCCGCGGUAA